UACAGAGGGGGCAAGCGUUAUUCGGAAUUACUGGGCGUAAAGGGUGCGUAGGCGGCGGGGCAAGUCUGAUGUGAAAUCCCGGGGCUCAACCCCGGAACUGCAUUGGAUACUGCCUUGCUAGAGUACUGGAGAGGGAACUGGAAUUUACGGUGUAGCAGUGAAAUGCGUAGAGAUCGUAAGGAAGGCCAGUGGCGAAGGCGAGUUCCUGGACAGUUACUGACGCUGAGGCACGAAGGCCAGGGGAGCAAACGGG
rnacentral:rRNA from 1 species